rnacentral:rRNA from 1 species
CCUACGGGGCGCAGCAGUCGAGAAUCAUUCACAAUGGGGGAAACCCUGAUGGUGCGACGCCGCGUGGGGGAAUGAAGGUCUUCGGAUUGUAAACCCCUGUCAUGUGGGAGCAAAUUAAAAAGAUAGUACCACAAGAGGAAGAGACGGCUAACUCUGUGCCAGCAGCCGCGGUAAUACAGAGGUCUCAAGCGUUGUUCGGAAUCACUGGGCGUAAAGCGUGCGUAGGCUGUGUCGUAAGUCGUGUGUGAAAGGCGCGGGCUCAACCCGCGGACGGCACAUGAUACUGCGAGACUAGAGUAAGGGAGGGGGAACCGGAAUUCUCGGUGUAGCAGUGAAAUGCGUAGAUAUCGAGAGGAACACUCGUGGCGAAGGCGGGUUCCUGGACAUUAACUGACGCUGAGGCACGAAGGCCAGGGGAGCGAAAGGGAUUAGAUACCCUAGUAGUC